CCCUUAGAUGUUCUGGGCUGCACGCGCGCUACACUGAUGCGUUCAACGAGUCUGCCUUGGCCGAGAGGUCUGGGUAAUCUUGUGAAAGCGCAUCGUGAUGGGGAUAGAUUAUUGCAAUUGUUAGUCUUCAACGAGGAAUUCCUAGUAAGCGCGAGUCAUCAACUCGUGCUGAUUACGUCCCUGCCCUUUGUACACACCGCCCGUCGCUCCUACCGAUCGAGUGAUCCGGUGAAUAAUUCGGACUGCGAAGGGCCCGGUUUCCGAGUCCUUUGUAGGAAGUUUAGUGAACCUUAUCACUUAGAGGAAGGAGAAGUCGUAACA
rnacentral:rRNA from 1 species